AAGCUCGUAGUUGAAUUUCGGGAUCAAUGCGUCGGUCGUGCCUUCGGUACGUACUAGCGUCAUUGAUUCCUCCCUUCUGAAGAACCGUGAUGUCAUUAAUUUGGUGUUACGGGGAAUCAGGACUGUUACCUUGAAAAAAUUAGAGUGUUUAAAGCAGGCUAACGCUUGAAUACAUUAGCAUGGAAUAAUGAAAUAGGACGUUCGAACCUAUUUUGUUGGUUUCUAGGAUCGACGUAAUGAUUAAUAGGGAUAGUUGGG
rnacentral:rRNA from 1 species